rnacentral:rRNA from 1 species
CCUACGGGGGGCUGCAGUGAGGAAUAUUGGUCAAUGGGCGAGAGCCUGAACCAGCCAAGUCGCGUGAGGGAGUACUGCCCUAUGGGUUGUAAACAUCUUUUGUCGGGGAGCAAAAGCCGGACGUGUCAGGCUGUGAGAGUACCGGAAGAAAAAGCAGCGGCUAACUCCGGGCGCGCGGCGGCGGUAAUAAGAAGGAUGCGAGCGUUAUACGGAUUAAUAGGGUGUAAAGGGUGAGCAGGCGGGUUUUUACGUCAGCGGUCAAAUCUUGGGGCUCAAUCCCGUCCAGCCGUUGAGACUGGAGAUCUAGAGUGUGCUAGAGGUAGGCAGAAUGCGUGGUGUAGCGGUGAAAUGCGUAGAGAUCACGCGGAACCCCGAUUGCGAAGGCAGCAUACCGGUGCACAACUGACGCUCAGGCACGAAAGCGUGGGUAGCGAACAGGAUUAGAUACCCUUGUAGUC